AACGAACGCUGGCGGCAUGCCUAACACAUGCAAGUCGAACGAGAUCCUUCGGGGUCUAGUGGCGCACGGGUGCGUAACGCGUGGGAAUCUGCCCUUAGGUUCGGAAUAACAGUUAGAAAUGACUGCUAAUACCGGAUGAUGACGUUAAGUCCAAAGAUUUAUCGCCUGAGGAUGAGCCCGCGUAGGAUUAGCUAGUUGGUGUGGUAAAGGCGCACCAAGGCGACGAUCCUUAGCUGGUCUGAGAGGAUGAUCAGCCACACUGGGACUGAGACACGGCCCAGACUCCUACGGGAGGCAGCAGCGGGGAAUAUUGGACAAUGGGCGCAAGCCUGAUCCAGCAAUGCCGCGUGAGUGAUGAAGGCCUUAGGGUUGUAAAGCUCUUUUACCCGGGAUGAUAAUGACAGUACCGGGAGAAUAAGCCCCGGCUAACUCCGUG
rnacentral:rRNA from 1 species